UACAAUAUCACCUUGUUACAAGGAAUAAUAAUGUCACCAACAAGCUAUCUAACCUUCAAUUCUAGUUCAUCGCCUAAGUUCUUUUAGCUACGCUGACAGUAUCAUUGAUAGUCACAGUCGUUACAUGAAGUACACUACGCUGUAACUACCCUAAGUAUCUCACAGAAGACUUCCGCAGUCGAUGGCUGCGACCUCUCAAAUGUGCGCCACUGUGAGCUUGUUCAGAGCUCGCUCAAACACGUGAUGGUUCUUCAACCUAGGAAUCUCCAGAGAAGCAACCACCGCCAGCCACGAGCUCACUGUCCUUAGUCGGUGAAGAUCAGUGCAGCAACGUUCCAACAACAGCUCAAGGGAAACCACGAGGCCGUA
rnacentral:lncRNA from 1 species